rnacentral:rRNA from 1 species
UACAGAGGGUGCAAGCGUUGUUCGGAAUUAUUGGGCGUAAAGCGCGUGUAGGCGGCUUGGUAAGUCUGCUCUGAAAGCCCGGGGCUCAACCCCGGGAGGCGGGUGGAUACUGUCAAGCUCGAGUCCGGAAGAGGAGUGUGGAAUUCCUGGUGUAGCGGUGAAAUGCGCAGAUAUCGUAAGGAAGACCAGUGGCGAAGGCGGGUCUCUGGACAGUUCCUGACGCUGAGGAGCGAAAGCAUGGGGAGCGAACAGG